rnacentral:rRNA from 1 species
CAAUAGCGUAUAUUAAAGUUGUUGCAGUUAAAAAGCUCGUAGUUGGAUUUCUGGCCGGAGAGACCGGUCGGCGCCCUUUGGGCGUGUGCACUGUUGUCUGCUCCGGCCAUCCUUGCGGAGAGCGCAUGUGCCCUUAAUUGGGUGUGUGUGGGAUCCGCAACGUUUACUGUGAAAAAUUAGAGUGUUUAAAGCAGGCGAUCGCUGUGAAUACAUUAGCAUGGAAUAAUGAGAUAGGACUUUGGUACUAUUUUGUUGGUUUGCGCACCAAGGUAAUGAUUAAUAGGGAUAGUUGGGGGUAUUCAUAUUCAAUUGUCAGAGGUGAAAUUCUUGGAUUUAUGGAAGAUGAACUUAUGCGAAAGCAUUUACCAAGGAUGUUUUCAUUAAUCAAGAACGAAAGUUAGGGGAUCGAAGAUGAUUAGAUACCAU